rnacentral:lncRNA from 10 species
GGCAGCCCACGCCUCCCAGGGAUUGCAGGCCUGGGCGCCGGGGUUGGACCAGUCUCCCGGGCAUGGCACGCCCUGGUUAUUCUGUACCCGUGAUUUGUGGCGGGGCAAGACGUUAAGUUGGGUGACACCGAGGUCUCAGUGCUGUGUGUGUAAUGGUUACCGUGAGAGCUUCCCUGCAAUCCGAAUUUGUGUGUCUCAUUCUCAGUGACACCAGUGAUGCUGUUAAACAAGGACAAUCCGGUUCAUGGAUUGUGACAACGCACGCUGACAUCAAGCAGACCCUGCCGUCAGGUACAGAGGGCACCACAGUGACCAGGAACUGCUGUCCUUUCAUACCAGGUUUUAGGAGGCUUUACCAGAAGGAAUGGAAAAUGCUGGUGGGCAGUAAGAUUGAAACAGCAUCUGAGGACUGGUUCUGCACAAAACCUUAAAUUCUUCAAGGACUUUGACAUUUGUUUAUUCUUGUAACAAAUUAAAACCUAUCCUGUGUGUUGGUUAGAGAUCUUCAAACUGUAAAUACCUUGAGGCAGGAGUGAGGUUUUUAUCUUUUAAAGGACAGGCCCCUACUCUCCUACGUAAUGAGUUUCUAAAAAUGGAUGUGAGCACCAAUCAAUAUUUCUCUGGUUGUUAAAGUCAAGAAUAAAAUGGUAUUUUUAAGCUCGCAACUGUGUAGGAUGAAUUCUGUACACUUUUAUUUCCCUCUGUUCUCCUUUCCUAUUUGAAAGUUUAUUAGUUUGUGGACUUGGGAUCGGAUUAUUCAUGCAUUAUUUUUUGAUGUUGUAUGUCUCUUGGUUCUUGGGUAUUUUUGACACAUAUUCUGUCUUGUAACCAUAGUUAAACAAUUGUUUUAGACCAACUCUCUGUGUGUAAUUGGCUUCAACACUCACUGCUAGUCCUUUGACGCUCUGUUUUUUUCCAUUCUUGAGUAAUUUUAAGUCAUCACUUGGGCAGUUGAAAUAUAUUUUAAAGUGAUUUAAAGAAUAUGUGAGUGGCAGACAUUCUGAACUCUUUUGGUUGUCUGUCCUCAAAAACUAAAACUUAUUUGUGAGUAAAAUUUUCAUCUAAGUGUUUUCCAUAUAAAAACUCUGUCAGCUACUGCUCCAUUGUAGUAGACACAAAAAAGUCAGCACAAUUUUCAUCCCUCCCUCCCUCCCUUCUCUUCCCCUUCCCCUUCUUGCCCUCCUUCCUUCCUUCCUUCUUUCCUUCCUUCCUUCCUUCCUUCCUUCCUUCCUUCCUUCCUUCCUUUUUCUUUUGUUUCUGAAUGUACAAAGAAAACACUUAAAAAUUUGCUUGUAAUUUAAAAACUUG